rfam:Operophtera brumata OBRT01_Sc00373, whole genome shotgun sequence.
CGUUCUAUGGCCGAACUGAUUAAGGCAUCGUUAAACACAUGCAAAGAUACGGGUUCGAAUCCCGCUGGAACUA